rnacentral:ribozyme from 1 species
ACUCGUUACAGCGAGUAUAAACCGCAUUAAGCUGUAAGCGUCCGGGAACAAAUCCCGGGGUUGUA